rnacentral:rRNA from 1 species
AUUUUCCCUUCGGGGAAAUAUGUAAAGUGGCGAAGGGUGGCUAACACGUGAAUACAUCUGCCUACGAAUUUGGGAUAACUUGACGAAACCUGCGCUAAUACCAGAUAAGACCACGUCUCUUAUGUGAUGUGGCCAAAGGAGCCUCAAGCUCCGUUUAUAGAUGAGUUCGCGGACCAUUAGCUUGUUGGAGGGAUAAUAGCCCCCCAAGGCGACGAUGGUUAGCCGGCCUGAGAGGGUGAUCGGCCACACUGGAACUGAGACACGGUCCAGACUCCUACGGGAGGCAGCAGUGGGGAAUAUUGCGCAAUGGGCGAAAGCCUGACGCAGCAACGCCGCGUGAGGGAUGAAGGAUUUUGGUUCGUAAACCUCUGUCAAGUGGGAAGAAUACUGACGAGUACCACUAAAGGAAGCCCCGGCUAACUCCGUGCCAGCAGCCGCGGUAAUACGGAGGGGGCAAGCGUUGUUCGGAAUCAUUGGGCGUAAAGAGUAUGUAGGCGGCUAUUUAAGUCAGACGUGUAAGCCCACGGCUCAACCGUGGAAUUGCGUUUGAAACUAUUUAGCUUGAGUGCAGGAGAGGAAGGCCCAAAUUUCCCAGUGUAGCGGUGAAAUG